rnacentral:tmRNA from 2 species
GGGGACGACUUGGCUUCGACAGGAAUAAAAAAAUAAAGAUGGCAUACCGCUUUGGACAAAGCGUAAAAAGUCUUUUUAAAAUUAAACGCAAAUAACAAAAAUUUCGCUCCUGCUUACGCUAGAGUUGCGUAAGUUCAGUUGAGCCCAAAUUCUAAAGCAUACUAUCUCAUUUAGGAUUUGGUCAUCUUUGAUAGUGUAGCUUAAAACUUGACGCAUUUUAAGUCAAAUUCAGUCUUAGCUGAGCUUAAAAGCUUUGAAAGAUGAGCUAAGCUUAGUGAAAUUUUCAUCUUUUCUAAGUAUGUAGAGGUCUUUUUUUGAUUAUUUUUGGACAGGGGUUCAAUUCCCCUCGUCUCCACCA